GGCUUGUUGGCGUAAUGGCAACGCGUGUACCUAUAGCAUUCAUAUAUUGGUUGAUGGAAGGUUCGGAGUUCGAUUCUCCGUCAAGCCA